GACAGAGGUGGCAAGCGUUGUCCGGAGUUACUGGGCGUAAAGGGCGCGGAGGCGGUCUGCGGCGUCGGCGCUGAAAGCGCCCCGCUUAACGGGGCGAGGCGUGCCGAUACGCGCAGACUUGAGGCGAGCAGAGGGUGGUGGAAUUCCGGGUGGAGCGGUGAAAUGCGUAGAGAUCCGGAGGAACGCAAGUGGGGAAGCCGGCCACCUGGGCUCGUCCUGACGCUGCGGCGCGACAGCGUGGGGAGCAAACCGG
rnacentral:rRNA from 1 species